rnacentral:rRNA from 1 species
UACAGAGGUGGCAAGCGUUGUUCGGAAUUACUGGGCGUAAAGGGCGCGUAGGCGGUCUUUUAAGUCUUGUGUGAAAUCCCUCGGCUCAACUGAGGAACUGCACGGGAUACUGGAAGACUUGAGUUCGGGAGAGGGAAGCGGAAUUCCGGGUGUAGCGGUGAAAUGCGUAGAUAUCCGGAGGAACACCGGUGGCGAAGGCGGCAUCCUGGACCGGUAUUGACGCUGAGGCGCGAAAGCCAGGGGAGCAAACGGG